ACACAGGAGAAGAAAUGGGUGAAGGCACAGGCGAAGAAAUAGCCACAGGCGAAGGUGGAGGAACAAGAGGAGGCGGCAAACGUAGAAAAGGUGGCAUGGUUGGGCGUAGGGGAGGCGGCAAAUGUAGGAAAGGUGGCAAGGUUAAAUGUAGAGGAGGCGGCAAACGUAGAAAAGGUGGCAUGGUUGGGCGUAGAAGAGGCGGCAAACGUAGAAGAGGUGGCAUGGUUGGGCGUAGAAGAGGCAGCAAACGUAGAAGAGGUGGCAUGUUUGGGCGUAGAAGAGGUGGCAAACGUAGAAGAGGUGGCAUGGGUAAAAGACGAGGCAAACGUAGUGCAGAAGGAAAUAGCGAGAGCGACGGGUAAGAGAAACAGGUAUUGGGACUACAAUGAUACAGAUAGCGG